UACGUAGGGUGCAAGCGUUAAUCGGAAUUACUGGGCGUAAAGCGUGCGCAGGCGGUUUUUUAAGUCAGUUGUGAAAUCCCCGGGCUCAACCUGGGAACUGCGCUUGAGACUGGCACGCUCGAGUUCGGGAGAGGAUGGUGGAAUUCCCAGUGUAGAGGUGAAAUUCGUAGAUAUUGGGAAGAACACCGAUGGCGAAGGCAGCCAUCUGGACCGACACUGACGCUGAGGCGCGAAAGCGUGGGGAGCAAACAGG
rnacentral:rRNA from 1 species